CAUACCUUAUCAAGGCAGCAUUCCUCUAAAAACUCAAGUCCUUCAACCACACCUUAAAAAUGGGUUAUUUGCCGUUUUUCAAAAAAAUUAGGAAAUGCAAAAUUUGUUGGACUUAUAACGCUAGACCCGACAAUUUGGCAAGACAUGAAAGAUCGAGCCAUGCCAAAAAAAUCUACAUUUGCAAUAUCUGCAGUAGAAAAUUAUCCAGAUCUGAUGCAGCCUCACGACAUUUGAAAAGAUGUCAUCCUGAAAUCAUUUUCGAGAACGGAAAACAAUACAUCGAAUAUUUUGAAAUUAAAUACACUCUCGAU